UCCCAGGUGGUCUAGUCGUUAGGAUUCGUGGCUCUCACCCACGCGGCCCGUGUUCGAUUCCCAGUCUGGGAA
rnacentral:tRNA from 1 species